GCUAGCCCUUCAGCCUGCUGUUUUUCAGGCAUGUAGCUGACCCAGCCGUGUCCUUACAGGUAUUGCUGGAAAAAAAACAACACACCUUUCUUUUUUUUGUAAAAAAAAAACAACAACCCCUCGUUAUUUUAAUAGCAAAGGGAAAGGGAAAACCAGCCUUCGCACCCCAGGGUGCGGAACUGCUGCUCCUGGCGGCUUAGUGAUCUGACCGCCGAGCAUUCUGGGUGAAGGGCGCCUGAGCCGCGAUCGCUGAUUAAUAAGCCUGUUUGGGGACACUCAGCAGACCGGCAGCAGCUGUACCGGGGGGGAGCAGAGAAUUCCCACUUUUUUUGUCCCAGAGCUGAUGACAUCAGCACCCUCGCAGCAGGUUCUUCCUGGAGAGCGAGGUCAGAGGGCAAACAGCCAUCAGGUCGCAGAGAAAACGGCUUGUUUGGUGUUUGUAACAAAUGGGGGAGUCUAGGAACUCUGUCGGCUUGGGGGUACUGCAAAAAA